rnacentral:rRNA from 1 species
AUUGAACGCUGGCGGCAGGCCUAACACAUGCAAGUCGAGCGGAGCGGCGGACGGGUGAGUAAUGCCUAGGAAUCUGCCUGGUCGUGGGGGAUAACGUCCGGAAACGGGCGCUACUACCGCAUACUAUCAGAUGAGCCUAGGUCGGAUUAGCUAGUUGGUGGGGUAACGGCUUACCAAGGCGACGAUGCGUAUCUGGUCUGAGAGGAUGAUCAGUCACACUGGAACUGAGACACGGUCCAGACUCCUACGGGAGGCAGCAGUGGGGAAUAUUGCACAAUGGGCGCAAGCCUGAUGCAGCCAUGCCGCGUGUGUGAAGAAGGCCUUCGGGUUGUAAAGUACUUUCGGUCGGGAGGCGGUACCGACAGAAGAAGCACCGGCUAACUCCGUGCCAGCCGCCGCGGUAAUAC